GGAGAAGAUGGAAGAAGAUGACCUCCAGCACAGAGAGAAGGUUCACACAGACUGUCUGGAAGUUCUUCUCCAGUCAACAUGCUGAGGUGGUUCUGCUCCAUGUUUGUGGUUCUGGACCUUCUAUCAGGUGUCUGUGUUGGACGACUGACUCCAGCCAUGGUCCAAGAGUCAUAUGAAGAAGGCAGAGCUGUCACUCUGUCCUGCACCAUCUCUCCUCCUGCUUCUCCCCAGGACUACCUCUCCUGGUACCGACAGCACCCUGGAGGAUCACUGGAACUUCUGGUAUCUCACUAUGCGAGGGAAAGAGAAGUCAAGUCUCCAGUCUCUGGCUUCACUCCUGGAGUGACGGCUGAUAGAAACCAGAUGGAGCUGAAGAUCAAGUCUGCUGCAGUGACGGACUCUGCUGUCUACUUCUGUGCUCUG